rnacentral:rRNA from 1 species
UACAGAGGGUGCAAGCGUUGUUCGGAAUUAUUGGGCGUAAAGCGCACGUAGGCGGUUCGUUAUGUCGGAUGUGAAAGCCCUCGGCUUAACCGGGGAAGUGCAUCCGAAACUGGCGAGCUUGAGUACUAAAGAGGGUCGCGGAAUUCCCGGUGUAGAGGUGAAAUUCGUAGAUAUCGGGAGGAACACCAGCGGCGAAGGCGGCGACCUGGGUAGAUACUGACGCUGAGGUGCGAAAGCGUGGGGAGCAAACAGG